AGAUGGCUGCGCAGGCCCGGGUCCGGGCGCGGCGAUGCACCCGGACUUGCACCGCCUGGUUUCUGCAGUCUGCGCUCGCAGGCUCGGGGAGGCGCGCUCCCAAGACUGAAAGUGUGCCACGUGGGGAACUGGACCAGAGCGUUCAGAUGCUUGUCCAAGAUGGCAUAAUCAGUGAGUCCUGAGCCAGAUUUGAGCCAGGCCCGUCUGCUUCCUAAGCCUGGCCUUUCCUCUAAGUCACAGCAAAUCCAUGAGGUUUCUGGUAACUGACUAUACUGUGGAACUGAAGGAAUAAGCAUUUUCAGAACUCUAAUGGAAACCUGAUGAAUUCAUAAACGUGCCUUACAAAACAUUAAGAAGAAAAAGAAAUUAAUUACAUGGGAAUGAGUGAACUGAUGAUUAUAAUUUUUGUGACUUUGUGUUUGAAUAAAAAAAAAUCCCACAAGAACUCAGAGGCAAAAAAUAUACAAGUUAAUUUUCACUGCAAAGUAAAGGAGCUGUUACAGUGAAAGAUUACUGGACUGAAUGUCACUAUUAUGACAUAAUAUGAGUGUGUUUCGUGUUUGGUAAUUGCAAUCAUUUUUGCUUUUCUUGUGGUCAUCCAUUUACAAUGCUUUGUGUCCUUUAUCUCUUGUAAAAAUAAAAUACAGUGUGUGUGUGUGAAAUAAACGUAUUGAAAACAA